UGGUGAGAUCAAUUGCCAAGAGUAGGAACUUUAGUUGUGAUAAGUGUGAAGGUGUUAGGAGAGGGUUUAAUCUGGCUAGUGUAGCAGGUGAAAUGGGAGGGAACACUGUGAGGGAGGUCUACCUAACAAGGAGAAAAUUGAGAGAAAUUCAGCCAGAAUGUAGCCCUACUUUCUUCUAAAUGGAAAUACUCAUCACUGUGAGAAUAGAGACAAACAGAAUGCGAGAAAGAAAAAUACAGUAACAGUAUUUAUCUAUUUAAGCAUUUUGCAUAUAUUAACUCAUAAAACGCUAUUAGAUAAAACACUAUUAGAUAAUACAGUAUUAUUCCUAUUUUACAGAAAGAAGCUCAAAGUUGUUAAAGCAAAAGAGAGGGACCUUACUAUUUUGCCCUUGUCUGCUUCCCCAGAAUUCUUUUGCCACUUACUACUUUGAACUUUCUGCAUGAACACCAUCAAAUGGUUUUCAGUUUCAUGCCAUGAUGAGCUAUCUCUUGCCUCUGUACCUUUGGUCAUGCCAAGAUUCUCAGUCCAUGACCCCUUUUCUUGACUCCCAUCCAUUCUUUAACCCUCAGAUUCUGUUACUUUCUCACAAUUUGUGGACAUUUCUCUCACGGUGUUAAAAUAUUCUGUUUCCUUACCUUCACCUGGACUGGACUGUGGGCAGGACAUAGAUUUCGUGUCUGUGGCAUAGGGCCUGGCCAAUACUAUAUAUAUUUUUCAACUCAACCACAAAUGAGUAAAUAUCUGCGAUAACUAGGUGAACAGAAAAUUCUCAGGGAUGAGGUUUAAAAUAGGGAAAGAGGAAAGAAGUAAAAACUCGUGGCAAAAUAGAACUUGCAUACUCUUUGCUUUCAAUUUAGGCUAGGGGUCAGACCAGAACUAUAGCUGCUGGCCUAUACCGCAGCCACAGCAAUGCGGGAUCUGAACUGCGCCUGCAACCUACACCACAGCUUUCAGCAACGCCGGAUCCCCAGUCCUCUGAGAGAGGCCAGGGAUUGAACCCGCAUCUUUAUGGAUACCAGUCAGAUUCAUUUCCGCUGCACCACAGUGGGAACUCCAAGGAAAAAAACAGCAUUUAAUAUGAGUUUGUAUACUACAGUCUAAGGAGAUUUUGUAUGAGUUCUGAGCGAUAUAGGUACUCAUAGGAAUGUAUCUCUAAUUUUUCCCCAUCUUAGUUAAUGGUGUUAACUUUUAAUGAUAACCUCUGCCCUUGGGUCUGCAGAAAUUCAAAACGGUUUGGGUAUUUUGAUGUGCAGGGAAAAAAAAUGGACACUUCCAAAAAAAUUUUUUUGACCACACCCAUGGCAUGUGGAAGUUCCUGGGUCGGGGAUUAAACCUGAGCCACAACAGUGACCAGAGGUGAUGCAUGGACAACACCGGAUCCUUAACGUGCUGUGCCAGAAGAGCACGCCUGUACACAUUAAAAAAAACCCAAAUCCUUAAGCUUUCUCUGCUUAUCUUUAGCACUUAUCUGUGGCUUUUGCAAUGCUAGCAUUACCAUAGUGAUAAAUAGGGGGUGAUGCUAUCCAUAAAGUUUCCUGCAUAGUUCAAUAAAAAUACCAGUAAUGACUAUUUUUUAUUGGUUAUGCCUGGCACCAUGCUAAGCAUUUCACAUACAUUAUUCCAAUUAAUUACAGUACCUCUAUGUUACAAAUCAGAAAUGUGAGGCCCAAGGCCACCCACUGACAGAGCCAGGAUUCUGACACCAGUAACUAUGCUCACCACACUACACAUUUGCUCUAAUUUAUUAAUUCCUUUAGGUCUUUCUCUUUCAAGUGGCUUUAGUCAAUACAGCCACUUGGGUUCUGCGCAUAUGCUGGAAAUAGCAUGGUCUGUUAAUUCUAACCCUCCACUGACUGUAUCAGGCAGUUCCUAGUUUUAAGCUCAGGCUCAAAGUGUAGACUCUUUUAUGAGAUUUCUGGCAGAAGCAGGUGAAAGGAAGAAUUCAAAACCAUUUCCUUUGUUGGGAGAGACACAUCAAGUAGUUGGGAGGGAGUGGGGCUGUUCCAUUCAGCCCUCAGUCUAGUCUCUUGGAGAGCAGCACUGAAGUCUCUCCCAUAAUUGCCUGCCUGGAAGGUGGAAAAUGGGAUAAGUGAUGUCACCGCAAAUGCAGACAUGCUGAACCCAAUAUUGCACAUCAGUGAAAUGGCUCAGGGAUUAGCUAGGCAUCCUCAACCCAUUUUCACAUUUAGUUUUCCUUCAAAGGAGAACUAUAUAAAAUAUACAACAAUAACCCAUGGCUUAUUUUAAAGUGCUUUCUUCUGACAGUCCUUAGUAGCACAUGAUUAGAGUUAAAAACCGAGAAACUAAUCCUUCUUCAGCUGCUGACCUACAGUGUGAAAUGCAGUCAGGUAACCUACUCCAGGGCUGACCAAGGCACAGGUAUUUAUUAAGUAUCUAUUAACAGUCCAGCAUGAAUUUUUAUGCUUUGGGUAUCAAAAGAAUAUUGAAAGCUAGGUUUCAGCUUACCCUGAGCACCACACAAGUCAAAAUAAUGAAUUUCAGUGGUUAAAUGACUGGUAUAAACUACGGCAGUUGGGAUGACAAAUAAAUGAAUGACAGCUGGACUGGUCAAGCAUAGUGAGCAAUUGCUCUGACUGCCCACAAUCUACUUGUUUUUCCUCUAAUAACAUAAUACAUAUUUUGCUCUGAGAAGUCAUGCAUCCCCACUCUAAGUCCGCUUAGUUUGGGUGAUGACUAAGACAGGAAUGGGAGCAUGACUGACUAUAGCCAGUGAGAUUUUAAAAAUAUUCCUGUAUUGCCUAUGGCUGAAAGGAGACUUACACAUGGACUUUUCAGUUAGCUGAAACAAGAAAUUUCUUUUUUCUUAAGCCAGUUUGCUUUGGCUUGUUUGCUACUUGCAACCAAAAUAUUGCUAACGGGUUUUCUGCUUCUAGAUAGGGUAGACUUCUGCUUCUCAGAAGGAUACAGUAGAAGCUGACAGGGUAAUGUUCCCACUGCAACAACUUGAAACCAACAGAUAAAUUGCAAACUUCAUAUUUCUGAAUGCAUGGGGGAAAUGUAGAAGUAACAGAGAUGAGAUAAACCCUAAAUCUUGAGAGGUGAGAAGCUGACUACUCUAGUCAUUUUUCAACCUGAGUCAUCUGCCAAUUUUGAGCAUGACCUGAGGAGCAGGCUCGCUGAUGAAGCAGAACUCUGCUGGGAGUAAGAGUGACCACCUGAGCUUUUAGCAGUUACAGGGGGCUGAUAUGGCAGUUUGGAAGCUUGAAGAGACUCAAAUACUUAUUGUUUCCAGAUAGGUUCUAGAGCUGCAGGGGAACUAAGCUAAAAGCUUCUAAAAUGCAGAGUAAAUUAUCUAGAGUUUCUUGGUGCUUAGGAACUAAGAUCUGCCAGUGAGAGAGCUUGCAUCAAGAAAAUUUACUUAGGGUCUAGAGAUUGACUGAAACUUACAGAGAGCAGAGAUGGAAACCAGUACUGUUCUGGGGCUCAGGAAAUAUUUCUGACAGGGAUAUACAUGUCCCUGACAGAAUAUAUAAAUAUAUAUAUUUGUCUCUUUUUUUAGGGCUGCACCCAUGGUAUAUGGAGGUUCCCAGGCUAGCCACAACCACAGCAACACAGCUAUACCACAGCUUACAGCAACACCGGAUCCUUAACCCACUGAACGGGGCCAAGGAUAGAACCUGUGCCCUCAUGGAUGCUAGUCAGAUUCAUUUCUGCUGAGCCAUGAUGGGAAUUCCUGUCAGGGUUAUAUUAAAAAAUCUAGGAGAUUUAGGCUCUUGCACCAGUGAAAAUCAGGAAUGGACUUAAUAUUAUAAAUAUUGCAAUCUAGUUUUGUUCCUAAUGAAUUUCUAAAUGGGUUAAGAUGAUUGUAUUUUGCUAUAUUUGCAUAAUUAUGAAGAAAACACUAUGGUGAAAGAUAAAAUAAUCUGGACCCUCUUUUUUUUUUAAAUUGAAGUAUAGUUGAUUCACAAUAUUGUGUUAGUUUCAGGUUAUAGCAAGGUGAUUCAGUUAUAUAUUUCUUUAGAUUAUUUUCCAUUAUAGGUUAUUAUAAGAUAUUGAAUAUAGUUCCCUGUGUUAUACAGUAAACUCUUGUUGCUUAUCUAUUUUAUGUACAGCAGUUUUUAUCUUUCAGUCCCUUAAUCCAAUUUAUCCCCCCCAUUUCCCUUAGGUAACCAUAAGUUUGUUUUCUAUACUUGUAAAACUGUUCUUUAUUUUGUAUAUAGACUCAUUUGUAUUAUAUUCAGAUUCUAAAAAUAAGUGAUAUCGUAUAAUAUUUGUUUUUCUCUGAUUUUCUUCACUUAUAAUAAUCUCUGGGUCUAUUUAUGUUGCUGCAAAUGGCAAUGUUUCAUUUUUUAUUGGUUAGUAAUAUUCCAUUGUAUAUAUGUAUGUAAAUAUACAUACAUGCAUACACAUACACAAGAUUGCUUUGGCAAUUCUGGGUCUUUGUGGUUCCAUAUAAAUUUUAGUAUUAUUUAUUCUAGUUCUGUGGAAAUACAUUAUGCGUUUUUUUGAUAGGGAUCACAUUAAAUGUGUGGUUGCUCUGGAGGUAGUAUGACCAUUUUAAGAAUAAUUCUUCCGGAGAUCCCGUCGUGGCGCAGUGGUUAACGAAUCCGAACCAUGAGGUUGUGGGUUCGGUCUCUGGCCUUGCUCAGUGGGUUAAUGAUCCUGCGUUGCCGUGAACUGUGGUGUAGCUUGUAGACGCGGCUCGGAUCCCGCGUUGCUGUGGCCCUGGUGUAGGCCCGUGGCUACAGCUCCAAUUCGACCCCUAGCCUGAGAACCUCCAUAUGCCGCGGGAGCGGCCCAAGAAAUAGCAAAAAGACAAAAAAAAAAAAAAAA
rnacentral:lncRNA from 1 species